rnacentral:rRNA from 1 species
UUGAACGCUGGCGGCAGGCCUAAGACAUGCAAGUCGAACGGUAACGACACUAGCUUGCUAGUGGUCGACGAGUGGCGGACGGGUGAGUAACGCGUAGGAAUCUACCUAGUAGUGGGGGAUAGCCAAGGGAAACUUUGGGUAAUACCGCAUACGAUCUAAGGAUGAAAGGGGGCCUCUCUUUGAAGCUCUCGCUAUUAGAUGAGCCUGCGUAAGAUUAGCUUGUUGGUGGGGUAAUGGCCCACCAAGGCGACGAUCUUUAGCUGGUCUGAGAGGAUGAUCAGUCACACUGGAACUGAGACACGGUCCAGACUCCUACGGGAGGCAGCAGUCGGGAAUAUUGGACAAUGGGGGAAACCCUGAUCCAGCCAUGCCGCGUGUGUGAAGAAGGCCCUAGGGUUGUAAAGCACUUUUAGUAGUGAGGAAGGCUCAGUAGUUAAUACCUACUGGGAUUGACGUUAGCUACAGAAAAAGCACCGGCUAAUUUCGUGC